rnacentral:rRNA from 1 species
CGGUUUCCUUAAGUCUGAUGUGAAAGCCCCCGGCUCAACCGGGGAGGGUCAUUGGAAACUGGGGAACUUGAGUGCAGAAGAGGAGAGUGGAAUUCCACGUGUAGCGGUGAAAUGCGAUAGAGAUGUGGAGGAACACCAGUGGCGAAGGCGACUCUCUGGUCUGUAACUGACGCUGAGGAGCGAAAGCGUGGGGAGCGAACAGGAUUAGAUACCCUGGUAGUCCACGCCGUAAACGAUGAGUGCUAAGUGUUAGGGGGUUUCCGCCCCUUAGUGCUGCAGCUAACGCAUUAAGCACUCCGCCUGGGGAGUACGGUCGCAAGACUGAAACUCAAAGGAAUUGACGGGGGCCCGCACAAGCGGUGGAGCAUGUGGUUUAAUUCGAAGCAACGCGAAGAACCUUACCAGGUCUUGACAUCCUCUGACAAUCCUAGAGAUAGGACGUCCCCUUCGGGGGCAGAGUGACAGGUGGUGCAUGGUUGUCGUCAGCUCGUGUCGUGAGAUGUUGGGUUAAGUCCCGCAACGAGCGCAACCCUUGAUCUUAGUUGCCAGCAUUCAGUUGGGCACUCUAAGGUGACUGCCGGUGACAAACCGGAGGAAGGUGGGGAUGACGUCAAAUCAUCAUGCCCCUUAUGACCUGGGCUACACACGUGCUACAAUGGACAGAACAAAGGGCAGCGAAACCGCGAGGUUAAGCCAAUCCCACAAAUCUGUUCUCAGUUCGGAUCGCAGUCUGCAACUCGACUGCGUGAAGCUGGAAUCGCUAGUAAUCGCGGAUCACAUGCCCGGGGGGAAAACCUUUCCCGGGCCUUGGACACACCGCCCGUCACACCACCGAGAGUUUGUAACACCCGAAGUCGGUGAGGUAACCUUUUAGGAGCCAGCCGCCGAAGGUGGGACAGAUGAUUGGGGGUG